GAAUUUAUUAAAACUGACAAUUUUAAAAAAUUAGUCUGUGAAAGAAACACUAAAAAAUUUAUACGUACUUAUUUGCUAUUUCACAGUUCAAAAAAUGCUUUUAUCUGCAGAAUUUUAAAUAUUUCGCGCCAGUCUAGAAAGUUGCCACGACAUGUCAAUACCACGCUCCCUUGCGUCAACUUCGAUAACGUUCAAAUAAUCUCCUUACAGCUGCACUUUUGUGAUUACUAAUAUCAGAGACUAAUAUAUAAUGUCUCGUUUUAUCGUGAUAAUUAGUUACAGUAGAUGCAUUUAAAUUUUAUCAAAGUAUUUUUUAAACCGGCAUAUGCAACAACCAACGUCUAUUUAGCAAAAGAAAAUACCUACAGGUGAGAAUACACUUUUUCUUGCCUUUGCCAAGCGAAUUUUUCUUCAGCAGUUCAGUCUACAGGGACAGUGUAUUUCCUUCCUAAAGCUUAAAAGGCCUUGUUGUCCAUAGGCAUUACAAUACCAUCAAGGGACUUAAAAAUGACCUAUGUCACAAUGUAAUAAUAUUAAUGGUAUGAAGAGCUUUUAUAAAUGUAUCAUUCCUUCCGCACUAAUACAAAACCUUGGAAUAAGUUUGGCUUCAAAGAAAAGUUAUGAAAGUGACUUCUUCCCCUGGAAAUAAGAAUAAUGAUCAC